rnacentral:rRNA from 1 species
AGUGUAGGCGGUUAUAUCAGUCGGAUGUGAAAGCCCCGGGCUCAACCUGGGAAUUGCAUUCGAUACUGUAUAGCUAGAGUUUGGUAGAGGUAAGUGGAAUUCCGGGUGUAGCGGUGAAAUGCGUAGAUAUCCGGAGGAACAUCAGUGGCGAAGGCAGCUUACUGGACCAAAACUGACGCUGAGGCUCGAAAGCGUGGGGAGCAAACA